CUAUAAAUAGUUAAAUAUAAUAAGAGGAUAGUGGAUCGUUACCCUGUGGAAAUCCUAUCCCCAACCGCACCUAAAAGCAAAAAUUACAAAAGGCGAUUCAGAAUGAACCAAGACAAGUCCCGAUAAAUCGAGUGAAGCACAGAAGUAAGAAUCAGGAAAGAAGCCCAAUAACCAAGAGAAACAAAAGACAGGAAGAGAAUUUCUACCUUUGAAUCCGUCUUUGCGAUAACCUUAUGGGCGUUAGGUUAUCCUCUUUAACCCAGUUCAUACAUGCG
rnacentral:lncRNA from 1 species